UGACAGAGAAGUCAGUUAAUAUUUUAUGUUUAUUUUAUUAUUUUGUUAAAGACCUUUAAUUUGAAACUGCUUUUAAUUAGAGCUGCUUGAAUGGAGACCUUUAUUUUGAAAGGCACCGUGUAACUCAGGAAGUUGUUGUCUACACCGCAUGGCAAGUUGAAGCUGUAUUACACAUUUCUAAAGUGCAUUUAAGUUCAUUUACUCAACUGAAGUUACAGAAGAUAUUACCAGAUGUAAGAUCUCCUUUGGAGAACGUAAGUUCUCCUUUGGUAAUAAGCAGCCAAUGAAUUCUCACGGCAUCUUGAGUUGGAUGGUUAUCCUCAUGGUGAACCAGUCAAUAAAUCGCCUGUCAUCAGACAAUCCUUGUGCUCGUGAAAUUACUGGGGGGGAGCUACAGUGAGAAUUCAUCUGCUCUUCACGGGUAGGAGAAGGAACGUUUCCAAACAGCAGUUAAGUGAGCAUCAAGUUAACUCUAAGUUCCAUCAUUCUGGAUUCUACAAGCAUUGAUUGUAUACACUGGUAACCAAGAAGCUAGUGACACGCAUAUGCACAGAGUUUAAAGGCAUCCUCAAGUUAAGGUCGACAAGAAGAUAAGCACAAAUAAGUUCAAGUUAAGGUGCUUGAAGUGGACUUAUUCUUGCCAUUUGCUAAAAAAUGACUCUUUAACUGUUCAGUACAGUAUUUGAAGAAGUGUUGGUGUUAUGUACUUACCUUUUCAAGUUUAAGUCAUUUUCUGAUCAGGUUUAAAGCUGCAAGUAAGAUAAUAAUUGUGGAGAAUAGCAAAGUGCAAUGCCUAAAAAUAACUGAAUUUCGAUUACAAGUUUAAUUUUACAGGUGAUUGAACUGUUAAAAUACUACUUUAAGCAGAGUUAAUAAUCUAAGAGAGAAACAUAUUUUUACCUAAGUUCAGUACAGUUCACAUUACAUGUAUAAUUAUUAAAUUAGAGUAGUCAGUGUAAAUAAGAGAUACAAAAAAAUGGCAGAAGGUGGUCAGUCUGCUAAGUGUGGCAAAGAAAAUAUAACAGAUACUGUGCAAUCACCACAGCAGCUAGAAUCCCAAGAAUGUGUAGACACACAAGCAUUAGUAGCUGUUGAUGACACAACAGAGCAAGAACCACGAAAUGUACAGAGAAAGGUAAAGAGUUGCAUGAUGAAAGGCUGACUAAACUUAAAAAAUAGCUUUCAUCGCUCUUAUGAGAAAUGGAAGUCUCUUGCUAGAGAUGGUAGACAAAGACUAAUGGGGUAUCUCUCCAGUGACAUGUUGAACAGCCUCAUAGAUGCAAUCAGUGAUUCUUCAAAGGAUGUAAAUGUUGUUUAUGAAGAGUUGCGACAAAAUGUGAAUCCAGACGGUGAUAAUCGCCGUAGAGUAGACACUUGUGGAGCAGUCACAAAAAUGAUAGUUGAGUCUGCAUGGAGUCGUCUAGUCAUAGAAAUUGAAGAAGAAACUAAGACAUUUCCUACCUUCAGUCGGUUUGUAAAGAUUAUAAUGCAAGAAGCUAAAAUAGCUUGUAAUCCAGUGACAUCGCUUCAUGCACUGAAGUCGAAUGAGAUCGGAAAGGGAAAGAUCUCAAGAAAUCAGGACACUCGAGCAAAAGUGUUAACGGUACAGUCCAGAGAAAAAGUAGAUGCUGUAAAAUGUACCUUCUGUGAGAGACUAGGACAUGGUAUUCACAAAUGUCGUAAGUUUAUGGAGAAGAAUGUUGCAGAGCGAGUCAAAUUUGUCCAAAUGAAUAAGUUAUGCUUUGGAUGUUUGAAUCCUGGUCAUCAUUCAAAGAACUGUGAAGACAGGAGUGUCUGUGAGAAAUGUCAGAAGAAGAACCCAUCAUGUUUACAUGAGGAUCGUAUCAAGGAAGCAAAGAGGACUCCACAGUAGUCAGGCUAGUCAAAGGAGAAGUUGAAGGAAAGAAACCCAGAGUUUGUACAGAAUAAAGAUACAGCAAGUUAAGCAACAUCUAACAGAGUAAUACAGGAUGUAAAUAAUACUCACACCUCUACAAUUGUUCCGGGAUGGGUAUCAGCUACCAAUGAACCAACUUAUGAAGUUCUGGUAUAUGCACUUCUUGACAC